GUGCUCGCUUCAGCAGCACAUAUACUAAAAUUGGAAUGAUACAGAGAAGAUUAGCACGGCCCCUGUGCAAGGAUGACAUGCAAAUUCGUGAAGUGUUCCAUAUUUUU
ensembl:snRNA U6 U6 spliceosomal RNA